UACAGGCGCAUGCUUUGCACGUCAUCACCAAAGACCUUCGCUGUCCCUCGUGUCAUAACAUGGUCGUCUUUGGAGAGAGGGGAACACACUGACCCAGAGCCGGAACUAACGACUGUGAUUCGAGGACUGCUUCUCUUGACGCCAUGCCUCGUUACGAGCUGGCGCUGAUCCUGAAGGCGAUGCAGCGGCCGGAGACGGCGGCUGCUCUCCGGCGGACAGUGGAGACUCUGAUGGAGCGGGGCGCCGUGGUGAGGGACCUGGAGAACUUGGGAGAGAAGCUGCUGCCCUACAAGAUAACCAAGCACAACGAGAGGCACAGCCGAGGGGCUUACUUUCUGCUCGAUUUCUACUCAUCCCCCGAAAUCCUGCCGGGCUUUCUGAACCACCUGCACCGCGACGUGGACGUGGUGAGGCCCACGGUGCUGAAGAAGGACGCCCAGGCUCCCAGCAGCACCAACUGCUGCGGCUCCGCACAGUGACUGAGUGUAAGGAAUGGCAGAGGUGGAUAAUAAAGUGCAUCAAUACCAUGCAUCUGAUACACGGAUCCCACAGCUGCUGUAUGAGCAGGACAGGUUUUUCACAGCUCAUAUCCAGAAGAUUUACAGUGUGAUGCUUCCACCCUUGACCUUUUCCACAAUCGAUCACCUGCUUUUGGAUGUCAUGACAGAAUAAAACUACUUUUUUUCUAUCAUA